rnacentral:rRNA from 1 species
AUGUGGUUUAAUUCGAUGCAACGCGAAGAACCUUACCAGGGCUUGACAUCCCCUGACCGCGUAUGAAAUACCGUUUUCACCCUCGGGUGACAGGGAGACAGGUGGUGCAUGGUUGUCGUCAGCUCGUGUCGUGAGAUGUUGGGUUAAGUCCCGCAACGAGCGCAACCCCUACGUUUAGUUGCUAACGCGUGAAGGCGAGCACUCUAGACGAACUGCCGUUGACAAAACGGAGGAAGGUGGGGAUGACGUCAAAUCAUCAUGCCCCUUAUGUUCUGGGCUACACACGUGCUACAAUGGCCGGUACAGACGGACGCAAAGCCGCGAGGUGGAGCAAAUCCUAAAAAGCCGGUCUCAGUUCGGAUUGCAGGCUGCAAUUCGCCUGCAUGAAGUCGGAAUCGCUAGUAAUCGCAGGUCAGCAUGCUGCGGUGAAUACGUUCCCGGGCCUU